GACGUACUGCGCGAACGUUAUUCGGAAUCACUGGGCUUAAAGGGUGCGCAGGCGGCUCUCCAAGCCCGUGGUGAAAGGUCCCGGCCCAACCGGGGACGGUCUUCGGGGACUGGAGAGCUCGGGCGAGCUAGGGGUCUGUGGAACUCCCGGUGGAGCGGUGAAAUGUGUUGAGAUCAGGAGGAACACCGGUGGCGAAGGCGGUUCUCUGGGCCUGACCUGACGCUGAGGAGCGAAAGCGUGGGGAGCGAACAGG
rnacentral:rRNA from 1 species